UUCUGCCUCUCACCAUCCAAAACACCCGCACAUUCACUCACCCUCUCAUCAGAACAAAUGAAGACCACCAAAGACCACUCUCAUCAUGAAUCCUAGCUAGUUACGAAUCGAUGAUCACUACUCAUCAAAGACCACCCCGUCGAUCUCUCUUUCUACAUCGAUCACGGCCUCUGUUUUUGACUACCUCUUUCCACCUCUCUCUCCACUACGGGUGCUAUCCACAGCGGUUCUCCCUCGGUCUUGCUCCUGCAAUUUUAGAGGAUUUGUACCACCUCAUCAAGAAGACAGUCUCCAUUAGGAAGCAUUUGGAGAGAUUCAGGAAGGAUAAGGACUCCAAAGAAGCUUCCACCAGUUUGGAGAUAUUUUGCUUCUACAUCUAACUUAUACAAGAUAUCAAACAAAGAGAGGAUUCUGUUGUAAAAGCUGGUGUCCCCGAUGAUGGAAAAGAUUGGCCUCCAUUCUUUCGAAUUAUUCACCAUGAUAUUACCAAUGAAAUUCCUGUACACUCUCAAAGGCUAC